rnacentral:lncRNA from 10 species
UGGGUUUCUGAAAGCCUACUAAAAGUCGCAGAUCCCUGGGCCAACUAACUCUGAAGCCUAACAUGGUGAUUGUAUUAGUCUGUUCUCACACUGCUAAUUCCAAGUCUGGGUAAUUUAUAAAGGAAAGAGGUUUAAUUGACUCACAGUUCCACAUGGCUGGGGAGGCCUCACAAUCAUGGCAGAAGUUGAAUGAGUAGCAGUGUCAGGUCUUACCUGAUGGCAGGCAGGAGAGCUUGUGCAGGAAAACUCCCGUUUAUAAAACCAUCAGGUCUCAUGAGACUUAUUCAUUCACUACCAUGAAAACAGUAUGGGGGAAACCACCGUAUGAUUCAUUUAUCUCCACCUGGCCCCUCCCUUGACACAUAAGGAUUACCACAAGUCAAGGUGAGAUUUGGGUGGGGACACAGCCAAACCAUAUCAGUGAUCAAAAAGGAAAAAAAAUUACAGUAUCUAUAUGUGCUGUAUGUUUCUGAGAGAAUCUAGUAAAGACAGCAUAGAAAGGGAUAUAAUCAAGAAAAGGACUUAAAAUCUAGAGAUGGUAGUUAAUCAUAUGUAUGCUUCCUUCAGUUACCCCUCCCAGAUUUCUGUAAAUAGAACAAUAAUCCACGUAGAUGCUGAAGCCAAACAUAAGAGUCAUUCUUAAUUCCCCUCCUUCCUUGUUUUCAAGCCCCUUCCCUGAUACCAUCACAAAGCAUCAGCAAAUUCCCUCAACUGUACCUCAGAAAUUUUCUGACCUCCACUCCGCCUAUCUAAACCUUUUCCUUACUUCUGCUCCUACUGGUGGCUCAAAAUGAUCCAAAAAUCUAUGAUUUCUAAAAGCCUGAAGCCUUUUCAAACAUUCAUCUUUAAAUUCCUGGAUGCUUGUUCUUUUUUUUUUUUUUUUUUGACAGAGUCUCAUUCUGUCGCCCAGGCUUGAGUGCAAUGGCAUGUUCUUGGCUCACUGCAACUGCCCGCCUCCCUGGCUCAGGUCAUUCUCUGCUCAGCCUCCUGAGUAGCUGAGAUUACAGGCAAGUGCCACCACGCCUGGCUCAUUUUUGUAUUUUUACUAGAGUUGGGGUUACAUCAUGUUGACCAGGCUGGUAUUGAACUCCUGACUUCAGGUGAUCCACCCACUUUGGCCUCCCAAAGUGCUGGGAUUGCAGGCAUGAGCCACCGUGCUUGGCCCUGGAUCCUUGUUCUAAAGUCACCUGUUCCCCCAGCGUAUUACUUUGUGGUGGCUUCCUCUGAUUCACGUCAUAUUAACUUAGAUCUACUAAGAUUUAUGCCACAUCUGGAUACUAGAAAACAAACAAGCAAAAGAUUUUAAACACUAUAAACAAACUUGGUUUAGCUGAGUAAAUUACACACAUGCAUGCAUACAAAUACAUAUCUGUGUAUAUGCUUUUAAAGUAUGUAUCAGUAUAUACGUAUAUGUGCAUGUAUCUACAUAUAUAUUUAUGUGUAUAUCUAUAUUUAUGUUUUUAAAGUCCUGAGAAUAGUAGGGUGGUUGAGGAUAUAAAACCUGAAAUAUUGGUGAGGACACAUUAAGGGUGUGAUUUCAAUCUCUGUAAGUAUUGUUUCACCUUUUUGCUUCUGUAUAAUAUACCUGACCUCUGUAGACUUUAAAACAUUGGUGAGCAAAUUCCCUUUGAAUCACCCUGGGUGGAGCAGCGUACAUUACUCUGUUCACAGGAGAUGUCUUUAGUUAUUCUCCAAACUCGGUCUGUUUUGCUCACCAAAAUGAAAAAUUAUAAAGAAAAUAACUAUGGUUUAUCUUGGUAUAACUCAAAUCGUUUAGAACAUUAUAUAAAUCAUAGAAACUACUGGAUUUAAUAUGAAAGUAAACAGAUUUUUAGUAGAAGAUUCUUUAAAAUACUUAACUGUGUCUUCUUAGUUUUCACACACAAAAACUAUGCCUGCUUCUAGAGUGCUGAUAGGUAAUACAGUGUUUAAAAAUGUGAAAAAAAAAGAGUAAUUUAUCUACAAGGCCUAAUUGUACCUCACAUUCUGUGAUAAAUAUUUCUUGUGCUCCAAA